rnacentral:lncRNA from 1 species
GGGAGAACCCCAGACAGGAGCCGACUGGUAGGAAACCGCUCAGCUCACUCCAGCAAGAAGCAGAAAGGGGACUGGUUAAAGAGCACGGUAGGAAGGUUGUCAAACUCCAAAGGACCCCACGAAGCCGACUUGGAGGCCACUGGGCCCAGGGCAAGGACCAAACCACAGGCACAGGACAGCUUCGGUCAAGAUCUUCCGGCCACUGCAGGAGGCAGAAACCACACCCUGCACCCUGCACUGCUGAGGCUGGCCCUGGAGUCCAGAAGAUUCUGGGCCGCCACCCCUAUCCCCAUUCAAAACAAUAAAAACAAAACCAAAAUCAAAUUGGUGCCGUGCGCCCUCUGCUUCCUGGUGCUGCCCGGGAUCCCGAGUCUUUCAUGGGAGCAGCUGACAGGGAAAGCCUGGGCCCGUAUCAGUGGCCCUCCUACAAGAAGUGCCGGGAAAAUUAACUUUCUGGCUUCCUCCCUGGGAAGGCAGAACAUUCCCCACAUGUCCCAGGGGUGUUUAAAAACUGCAGGACAGCCAGAGAACACACAUCAUGUUCCACCAGGAGUUCCCGGCAGGACGUCCCCGUGCAGAUGCCCAUGCCAAGAGGUUAUUCCAGGAGAAGUGGCCUUCGGUGUCAAAUGAACCUGAGAGUCCCUGGCAGGUUUAGCAAUAAAGGAAGACGCUGAUGACAGUAAAAGCAAUGUCAGAGAAAGGGGAAGAUGGAAGUGGACGUGGACGAGUGAGCAGAAGGUGACAAAUGGAAGCAAAGAAACGUUUCCAGACCGUUGAAGAUGCUUGACCUAGAAGAAAGAGGCGGUGGAUGGAAUGGAAGCUCAAGGAGGUCACUCGAGUAGAGGGCUGGUCAGAGUCCCUGCAGAGGGGCUGUGGAAGGCUGGCGGGGCAGGCGGCCCCACCCUGUGUCACCCUGAGGAGCGUGUGGUCACAGUGAAAAGCUCAGUUGGUGUCUGGGAUCAGCGUCCGGAGAAGAGAGGUGGAUCUUCAGCUCUGCAGCCCUCCCCCCGCACACUCUGUCCCUCUCCCCUGCUUUUCCUGCACUCCAUGGUCUGGCUCCCAUUUAGGUCACGUUUUCAUUUCUCUGCCGCUCUUUCUCUUUUCUCCUCUUUUUCUUAACCCCUGUCUUCCCCUUUGUACCUUUUUGAGUCCCACUAGUAGAAUUUAAACAGCUUUUCAAGUUGGUUUUUUUGUUGGCAGAAAUUGACUUAGGACCCCACGUGAAUAAUUUGGAAAUUAAAUGAGUGUAAACUGGCUCAUGUCUCUGUAAAAAAACAAAGAAAAUCUACAUUCCAAUGCUUUCUUCGUCCACAGUAGCCCACAGUUCCGCUUUUUUUUUUUUUUUCCAGUUACUUGCCAUUAAUUUUUAAAAGUUUGUAACCUGGUUACAAAAAUAUGAUGGAGGAAAAACCCUUCUUCCUGUAAGAGGAAAUCAGACUUGACUAAUCCCCAUGCUGGCUUUGAAGAAGUAAAAUCGGGGAAUGAUAAAUUCGUAUGCAGUAAAUAUCACAGAGGUGGAAAGUAAGCAAUAGGCGGUAGAGGGAAUAACCACAAAUUAUGAAGGAACGAGCCAUUUAAACCACAAUAGAAUUAUAACAGAAAUGAACCACGGGCUCACGCCUGAAAUCCCAGCACUUUGGGGGCCAAGGCAGACAGACCAUUUGAGGUCAGGAGUUUGAGACCAGCCUGGCCAACAUGGCAAAACCCCAUCUCUACUAAAAACACACACAAAAUAUAGCUAGUCAAGGUGGCAGGUGCCUGUAAUCCCAGCUACUUGGGAGGCUGAGGUAGAAGAAUUGCUUGAACCUGGGAGGCGGAGGUUGCAUUGCGCUGAGAUGGUGCCACCACACUCCAACCUGGGCGACAGAGUGAGACUGUCUCAAAAUAGAGAAAAAAAAGAAAAAGAAAAGAAAUGAAGCUCAGUGCUUCCCAGUAAAUUACUCCAGUUGGAGUUGCAAAAUAUCAUUCUCAGUAUCUCCUGAAUGAGAAAUCAACAAUGUAAGAGCAUGUAUGUUUCAAAUCCAGUGUAUUAUUUUAUGGAGCUUUUCACAAGCUCCAAAAGAUUCAUAGUGCAGAACUGCAGGUUCUAGAGAAAUUCCACGCCUCCUCCUGCAGGUAGUAACUUCAUUUGGAAGGCAGCUCUUGGCUUAUAUCUGGGCCCAGUGCAAUCAAGUUCAGGUCCUGGUGCUGAGCUACCAAACUAUAACUUGGGGCAUGCACAGCAGCCUCCAGCAUCCACGGGGCUGCUGAGUAUGGCGUCAGCACUGAGCAGGUCCGAGGUCAGCAAGUGUCUCAGGCUCCCGUGGCUCCCAGGGGACCUCUCCUCCUGCCCCUCUCUACCACAUCUGUGAGCUCCUGGGAAACCCUAUGACCUCGUACAGAGGAGGAAAGGGCAGACCAGGCUUAUGGAUGGGUCCUCACGGUGAGCUGGCACCCGGCAGAAACAGACAGUAGCUGCCUUAGUGCCCAUUUCAGGUGGCCCUGAGGAAUGAUGUAGGGAAAUCCUUCAGGUGGGCAGAGCCUCAGGGGUUCUGCAAUGAGGGAUGGACUUGGGUCCAUUGAAUGUACCCAGAGUGGGCCACAUAGUCAAGGACUUGAAGAGAAUAAGAGAGUAAAACUGAGGCAGGGGUAGACACAGGUGCUCCUCUGGGGAUGGGCACAAAGUGUGAGCUUUGCCGUCCCACCCUUAAGCUCAGAGCACGUCCUGUGAUGAUGAGGUUCUUGGUGUUUGGUGGACAGUGUCAGGCAGCCUCUGUCCCUCAGUGUUUAUUCAGGGGAUCUAGGUGCAGAUGGCCACAUGGACAGGGAGGACUGCCAUGGAGCUUACCACAAGUGGACCGAGUCUCCCAGGACUGACCGGUAGGUACCCAGCCCUGCCUGGGGUAGGCAGAUCCCGGGGCUCAGCCCCUGGAAGGCGUCAUUUUACAGCAGGACUAUGUGGCCACUGCAGACAGGCUGGCCACACAGGACACGUCCCAUCCUGGAGGGGACUGAGCUUUGUCCUCACAGGGAUACGCACACACUGAGGGUUCCAAUUGGCCUUCCCUGGACUCUAGGACAAGACCAUCCAAGACUCACUCCCCAUAAGAAUCAAGGUUUGGAUUCCAUGGCAGUACCAUCCGGUUUGUGUAAGUGCACCCCGUGAUGUCCCUACUGCCGCAGGAACAGCAAAAUCACCUAACAACACACUUCGCACAACACAUCCCCAUCGUGAAGCAAGGAUGACUGCACUAACCUCUCCUGCAGCUGCUCAGAUGGGGUGAGCCCCCUGUUUGUGGCAGGGCCCCUCUCAGGGUAUCCUCCCCUCCCUUGUCAUGGCGAUGCCCAAAUACCCUUGGCUGGAGUACCCUGAAGGCUCUGCUACCAUCCAAGCUGGUUUAGAGACGUGAACCAGACCAAUAAAGGGCAGGCUUUGAAUGGUGGUUUUCUCAUCAGGUUCCUCUCGUCCCCCAUGCUAGAUCGCUGGGUGUCCUGCUGUCCCUCACAGUGAGAGAUCCCAGCACCGGGAGAAAGGACAGGCUCUUUAUUAUCAGAUACAUGCAGCCACUCCUCCAAUGUCCCCUCUCCCAUAGGGCAAGUCCGGCUGCUCCGGGUCCUCCCCAGUGUCUUUAUUAGGUGAGCAGACGUGAAUGGUUGUGUGGGGGGAAGAUAAUUCAUGGACAGGCUGGGAAAAGAAUUUGGUGUCCAAGGCCAUGAGGGUAUGAGGUCAGAAGGAUGCUUGGGUGUGGUGGUCAGCAGGGGUGAA